GGGAAAGCAAUAUUGCCCUUAGGUUUAAGGAAAUCUUUGGUUUGGGGACAGCAAAUCCUUCCAUGAUCUGCCCUUGUAACUAUUUUAAGUUUCAGCUCACAUAACAGCAUCAAAGGACAGAGCCCAGCCCUAGUAUCUUAGACUUGCAGAAAGGAAGGUCAUCCGGAAGAGCAAAACAGGAGUCUCCAGUGCCCGAUCCCUUUGGUCAGAAGGAAUAAGACUGCCAACACAGUUGCUGAGAAGGAGGAUGGAAAACAACUCGCAGAGAUCACACUGGGUGAAUGCCUGAGCAGAGACUGCAGGAUGAAGUUGUGAGAAGGCAAACUUAUGAAGGACACUGGUCAAGCUCAGUUUAUCAAGGCAUGCAAAGCUUUCACUAACACAAUCAAGGCUUUACAAACUGUUAGAAGAAUUGCUGUAUCAAUGAACAUCAUUUGAGGAAAAGAGGAAGACAGAAAGAGGUGAGGGAUGGGGAGCGAGAACAGAGGGCUGUUAUCUUCCUGGUUUGGCUUCCUCUCAGCCAGAAGGCUGACUUUCCGGCAAUGGGAAGGAGGAUGGGUCAAAUUAUGGUAAUUAGGAUCUUAUAUGGCAGCUCAUGAUUUGCAUUUCCUUCAUUUCA
rnacentral:lncRNA from 1 species